GACGUAGGGUGCAAGCGUUGUCCGGAUUUAUUGGGCGUAAAGAGCUCGUAGGCGGCUUGUUGCGUCGACUGUGAAAACCCGCGGCUUAACCGCGGGCUUGCAGUUGAUACGGGCAGGCUAGAGUUCGGUAGGGGAGACUGGAAUUCCUGGUGUAGCGGUGAAAUGCGCAGAUAUCAGGAGGAACACCCAUGGCGAAGGCAGCUAACUGGGCAUUAUCUGACGCUGAGGCGCGAAAGCGUGGGUAGCAAACAGG
rnacentral:rRNA from 1 species